rnacentral:rRNA from 1 species
GACGAACGCUGGCGGCGUGCUUAGCACAUGCAAGUCGAACGGUAAGGCCCUUCGGGGUACACGAGUGGCGAACGGGUGAGUAACACGUGGGUGAUCUGCCCUGCACUUCGGGAUAAGCCUGGGAAACUGGGUCUAAUACCGGAUAGGACCACUGCCUGCAUGGGUGGUGGUGGAAAGCUUUUGCGGUGUGGGAUGGGCCCGCGGCCUAUCAGCUUGUUGGUGGGGUGAUGGCCUACCAAGGCGACGACGGGUAGCCGGCCUGAGAGGGUGACCGGCCACACUGGGACUGAGAUACGGCCCAGACUCCGACGGGAGGGAGCAGUGGGGAAUAUUGCACAAUGGGCGCAAGCCUGAUGCAGCGACGCCGCGUGAGGGAUGACGGCCUUCGGGUUGUAAACCUCUUUCAGCACCGACGAAGCGCAAGUGACGGUAGGUGCAGAAGAAGGACCGGCCAACUACGUGCCAGCCGCCGCUGUAA